rnacentral:lncRNA from 1 species
GCCCAGUAUUUACAGCGGAAAAUAUUUUCUAAAAAUUUACAAAAAUGUACGUAUGUUAUCACAGUUCUUUGAUUUUUUAGUCUCCAAUAACAAAUGUAUGUUAUUUUCCUGUAAUAACCUAUAGAGUUAUAUCCCUGACUGGUAUAGGUAAAACAAAAUAUUGGCUGAGUUAUGUCCCUUAGACAUUCAGAUUUUUUAACUUGUAGAAGUAAAAAAGUCAUCCUAUCUUCUUUUAUUGAAUUCUUAUGAUUUCUUUGCUCUAAUAGAACUUUAAAUUAUCUGCCCUUUGCAGAUGUCUUUACUAAUCAUUUAAGUGUAAUUUCAUGGACAAUGAAGAUCCCAUUUGUCUGUUAUCUUUAGAACACUGCUCAUUUACACGCCCCCG